rnacentral:rRNA from 1 species
AUUGAACGCUGGCGGCAUGCUUUACACAUGCAAGUCGAACGGCAGCGCGGGCUUCGGCCUGGCGGCGAGUGGCGAACGGGUGAGUAAUACAUCGGAACGUGCCCAGUAGUGGGGGAUAGCUCGGCGAAAGCCGGAUUAAUACCGCAUACGACCUGAGGGUGAAAGCGGGGGACCUUGGGACCCGCGGCUUUUGAGGGGCCGAUGGCAGAUUAGCUAGUUGGUGGGGUAAAGGCCUACCAAGGCGACGAUCUGUAGCUGGUCUGAGAGGACGACCAGCCACACUGGGACUGAGACACGGCCCAGACUCCUACGGGAGGCAGCAGUGGGGAAUUUUGGACAAUGGGCGAAAGCCUGAUCCAGCAAUGCCGCGUGUGUGAUGAAGGCCUUCGGGUUGUAAAGCACUUUUGGCGGGAACGAAAAGGACUGUGCCAAUACCACGGUUCGAUGACGGUACCCGCAGAAUAAGCACCGGCUAACUACGUG